GAUGAACGCUGGCGGCGUGCCUAAUACAUGCAAGUAGAACGCUGAAGGAGGAGCUUGCUUCUCUGGAUGAUUUGCGAACGGGUGAGUAACGCGUAGGUAACCUGCCUGUUAGCGGGGGAUAACUAUUGGAAACGAUAGCUAAUACCGCAUAAGAGUAGAUGUUGCAUGACAUUUGCUUAAAAGGUGCAAUUUCAUCACUACCAGAUGGACCUGCGUUGUAUUAGCUAGUUGGUGAGGUAACGGCUCACCAAAGCGACGAUACAUCGCCGACCUGAGAGGGGGAUCGGCCACAAUGGGAAUGAGACAACGCUCAGACUCCUACGGGAGGCAGCAGUAGGGGAUCUUUGGGAAUGGACGGAAGUCUGACCGAGCAACGGCGCGUGAGUGGAGGAAGGUCUCGGAUCGUAAAGCUCUGUUGUAAGGGAAGAACGAGAGUGAGAGUGGAAAGUUCACACUGUGACGGUAUCUUACCAGAAAGGGACGGCUAACUACGUG
rnacentral:rRNA from 1 species